rnacentral:rRNA from 1 species
AGAAAAAUCGAUUUCCUGAGUAGCGGCGAGCGAAACGGAAAGAGCCCAAACCAAGAAGCUUGCUUCUUGGGGUUGUAGGACACUCUAUAUGGAGUUACAAAAGAAAGUUAUAAAUGAAGCGGUCUGGAAAGGCCCGCCAAAGACGGUAACAGCCCGGUAGUUGAAAUGGCUUUCCCUCCAGAGUGGAUCCUGAGUACGGCGGAACACGUGAAAUUCCGUCGGAAUCCGGGAGGACCAUCUCCCAAGGCUAAAUACUC